UAUAAAAUGCCUUCUCGUUGAUAUAUUGAAAUAAAUGAAAUUAAAAUAUACGAGUAGAUAUAAAGAUAAAACAAGGUUAAGGUGUGUGUUUUUCGAAAAUUAUAAUCACAUGACUGUAACAUAGACUGUAUAUAAACCGCUUUAUGCAGAUCACGCGGACACAAGUAACACACAUCUCCAAAGAGGGUAGAUCUAGUGAUUUUUUUAUUUAAAAACUUCUUUUUUUUUGGUUUACUUGUGUGUUCGAGCACAUCAAGGUUUUCCUUAUUUAUCAUUUACGGAUUUAAAUCGACAGGCAGACAAGGUGAGACGCGCCUUUGUCAUUAACAGUUUACCAGGUUGCAAAAUGGCAGGCAAUGAAUUCCGUGAUAACAAAGGACGUUUUCUACCCAAUCACAUGAAAGCUAACGACGCGUUACAACGUGACGUUGGUGAUAGGUAUCAAGUAUCAGCUGAUUAUUUGGGCAAACCUGAAAAAGCUAUAGCGCAGAUCACAAAACCUAAUCCGUAUCAGUACGGUCACGGGCCGAAGUCAGAUGUUUAUAAGCACACUGGAAACCCGCCUAAUCUUGUCUCAGUGAACAGAAAGUAUAAAAAGUAGUAACUUUCAUAGCUACUUAGAAACGCAUUCUAAAGUAAUAUUCAGUUUAUUGAACAAACUUGUUAUCUGAUAUUAGGACAAUACUUGCGUUUGAAAAGCGAAAAUUCUUUAACAUUGUUCCUGAUUGUUUUAUUAAUAACCUAACUGUUGUAUAUCUAUAAAAGUGUUUGAGUUUUAAGUAUAACUAUAAAUAUGAUAUUUUGAUAACGAUGAUUAUUAUUCAAAAUGUAACUUAUAAAAGUCUGACAUUUAGCAAGUCGUGUUAUAAACUACCAUAUUCAUACCGUAGAAAUUAUACGUAUUGAAAUUCAAAUAACAAUAGAAUGUAUCGCAUAUAAACUUGAAGCGAUA